CAAGACCUUGCGCUUUUGGAGCGGCCGAUGUCUGAUUAGCUAGUUGGUGAGGUAAAGGCUUACCAAGGCUUCGAUCAGUAGCUGGUCUGAGAGGACGACCAGCCACACUGGGACUGAGACACGGCCCAGACUCCUACGGGAGGCAGCAGUGGGGAAUUUUGGACAAUGGGGGCAACCCUGAUCCAGCCAUGCCGCGUGAGUGAAGAAGGCCUUCGGGUUGUAAAGCUCUUUCAGCCGGAACGAAAAGGUUACGGUUAAUACCCGUGACCAAUGACGGUACCGGAAGAAGAAGCACCGGCUAACUACGUGCCAGCAGCCGCGGUAAUACGUAGGGUGCGAGCGUUAAUCGGAAUUACUGGGCGUAAAGCGUGCGCAGGCGGUUUUGUAAGUCAGAUGUGAAAUCCCCGGGCUUAACCUGGGAACU
rnacentral:rRNA from 1 species